AACUAAAGAAUUGCAUCCCCGAAGAAACCCUACACACUUUAUAAGACCGCCGGGCAAUCGAGCGAGCAAGCCAGAGUGCGAGCGUGCGAGGAGGAAAGAACGAAAGGGAGAAGACGACUCCGAUCCUCUCCAGCUUCCAUGGCUCUCUGCAACCGCCUCCAUCCCCGGAUCCGCUCACCCCUCCUCCGUCCGCGCUCCGUCUCCUCCUCUCUCUUCCUCACCCGCCACCUCGUGACCACCGCGAGGCACCCUUGCACUGGCGGCCUCCGCGUCCAGCUCCGCCUCCGCUGCGCCGCCCAACCCCGUCCGGCAGAGACGCCGCUCCGGACGGCCGAGGGGAAGCGCAGGGACAUCAAGAAGAUCCUGAUCUUGGGCGCGGGGCCCAUCGUCAUCGGGCAGGCGUGCGAGUUCGACUACUCGGGGACCCAGGCGUGCAAGGCCCUCCGGGACGAGGGCUACGAGGUGGUGCUCGUGAACUCCAACCCGGCUACCAUCAUGACAGACCCAGACCUCGCCCACCGCACCUACGUGGGUCCCAUGACCCCGGAGCUCGUCGAGCAGAUCCUUGACACCGAGCGCCCGGACGCCCUCCUCCCCACCAUGGGAGGCCAGACCGCCCUCAACCUCGCCGUCGCCCUCGCUGAAUCCGGCGCCCUCGCCUCCCGCGGGAUCGAGCUCAUCGGCGCCAAGCUCGACGCCAUCCGCGCCGCCGAGGACCGCGACCUCUUCAAGCGCGCCAUGGAUCGCAUCGGCCUCAAGACUCCUCCCUCCGGCAUCGCCAUCACCAUCGAGGAAUGCUUCGCCAUCGCCGAUAGCGUCGGCUCUUUCCCUCUCAUCAUCCGCCCGGCUUUCACCCUCGGCGGCACCGGCGGCGGCAUCGCCUACAACCGCGACGAGUUCGAGGCCAUCUGCCGCGCCGGCCUCGCCGCCAGCCUCACCUCCCAGGUGCUCGUCGAAAAGUCCCUCCUUGGCUGGAAGGAGUACGAGCUCGAGGUGAUGCGGGACCUCGCUGACAACGUCGUCGUCAUCUGCUCCAUCGAGAACAUCGACCCGAUGGGCGUCCACACGGGGGACUCGAUCACGGUCGCUCCGGCGCAGACGCUCACCGACAAGGAGUACCAGCGGCUGCGGGACUACGCGGCCGCGAUUAUACGGGAGAUUGGGGUGGAGUGUGGGGGGUCCAAUGUGCAGUUCGCUGUGAACCCGGAGGAUGGGGAGGUGAUGGUCAUCGAGAUGAAUCCCAGGGUGUCGAGGUCGUCGGCUCUUGCCUCGAAGGCAACGGGGUUCCCCAUUGCGAAGAUGGCUGCGAAGUUGUCGGUGGGUUACACGCUCGACCAGAUUCCUAAUGAUAUCACGAAGAAGACUCCGGCUAGUUUCGAGCCUUCCAUAGAUUAUAUGGUGACAAAGAUUCCACGAUUUGCUUUUGAGAAAUUCCCUGGUUCCCAGCCAGUGUUAACUACCCAGAUGAAAUCUGUUGGCGAAGCAAUGGCAUUGGGACGGACUUUCCAAGAAUCCUUUCAAAAGGCUGUUCGGUCUUUGGAGUGCGGUUAUGCAGGAUGGGGUUGUGCACCUGUGAAGGAACUUGACUGGGACUGGGACCAAUUGAAGUACAGCCUGCGAGUUCCAAAUCCAGACCGAAUUCAUGCAGUAUACGCAGCUAUGAAGAAGGGAAUGAAGGUAGAAGAUAUUCAUGAGCUGAGCUAUAUUGAUAAGUGGUUUCUUUCUCAGCUGAAAGAGAUGGUAGAUGUGGAACGGUACCUCACAGCAAGGAAUCUGAAUCAGUUGACAAAGGAUGACUUUUAUGAGUUGAAGAGAAGGGGUUUUAGUGAUAAGCAGAUUGCUUAUGCAACUUCUUCCACUGAGAGGGAGGUGCGGUCAAAGCGCUUAUCACUAGGUGUGACACCAGCGUAUAAAAGGGUUGAUACCUGUGCUGCAGAGUUUGAGGCAAACACUCCCUACAUGUACUCAUCAUAUGAUUUUGAAUGUGAAUCAGCCACCACUCAAAAGAAAAAGGUUCUGAUAUUGGGCGGUGGACCUAAUCGAAUUGGUCAGGGUAUUGAGUUUGACUACUGCUGCUGUCAUGCUUCAUUUGCCCUUCGGCAGGAUGGGUAUGAGACAAUUAUGAUGAACUCAAAUCCAGAGACAGUGUCCACAGAUUAUGACACCAGUGACCGUUUGUACUUUGAGCCUUUGACAGUUGAGGAUGUGUUAAAUGUGAUUGACUUGGAGCGGCCUAAUGGCAUAAUUGUACAGUUUGGAGGGCAAACCCCUCUGAAGCUUGCUCUCCCAAUACAAAGGUAUCUGGAAGAGCAAAAGUUGGUGUCUGCUACUGGAAUUGGAUAUGUGCAGGUAUGGGGAACAUCACCUGAUUCUAUUGAUGCUGCUGAGGACAGAGAGAGAUUUAAUGCGAUUCUUAAGGAGCUUGAGAUUGAGCAGCCUAAAGGUGGGAUAGCAAAGAGUGAAUCUGAUGCAAUAUCAAUUGCUACAGAAAUAGGCUACCCUGUCGUGGUCCGACCUUCUUAUGUCUUGGGUGGACGCGCCAUGGAGAUUGUUUACGGUGAUGAUAAACUUGCCACCUAUCUUGAGAAUGCUGUUGAAGUAGAUCCUGACCGCCCAGUCCUGAUAGAUAAGUAUCUCUCUGAUGCCAUUGAGAUUGAUGUGGAUGCACUGGCAGACUCGAAUGGGGCUGUGGUAAUUGGUGGAAUCAUGGAACACAUUGAGCAAGCUGGGGUCCACUCUGGCGACUCAGCUUGCUCCCUUCCCACAAAAACUGUGUCAACCAAUUGCUUGAACACCAUUAGAUCAUGGACAACAAAGCUGGCGAAACGACUUAAUGUAUGCGGGCUUAUGAAUUGCCAAUAUGCAAUCACAGCUUCUGGUGAUGUUUACCUUCUUGAGGCAAAUCCUCGUGCUUCACGCACUGUGCCUUUUGUUUCUAAAGCUAUUGGUCGUCCGUUAGCAAAAUAUGCCUCUCUUGUCAUGUCAGGGAAGAGUUUACAUGAGAUUGGAUUUACAAGUGAGGUGGUCCCAAAGCAUGUUUCAGUCAAGGAAGCUGUGCUCCCAUUCGAGAAGUUCCAAGGUUGUGACAUUCUUCUUGGACCAGAGAUGCGUAGCACUGGAGAAGUUAUGGGAAUUGACUUUGAGUUUCCUGUAGCUUUUGCUAAGGCACAAAUAGCUGCUGGACAAAAGCUUCCAGUUAGUGGUACAGUGUUUCUCAGUCUAAAUGACUUGACUAAGCCACACCUUGCUUCAAUUGCUCAUGGAUUCCAAGAACUUGGUUUCAGAAUUGUUGCAACUUCAGGUACGGCUCGAGUGCUCGAGUUGGAGGGCAUACCGGUGGAGCGUGUCCUGAAAAUGCAUGAGGGGCGGCCGCAUGCAGGCGAUAUGCUAGCAAAUGGUCAAAUACAGGUCAUGGUGAUAACAAGUUCAGGAGAUGCUUUGGAUUCAAUUGAUGGACGACAAUUGAGGAGGAUGGCACUUGCUUAUAAGAUCCCAAUUAUAACAACAGUUGCUGGAGCACUAGCUAGUGUGGAAGCUAUUAGGAGUUUGAAGUAUAGCUCUGUGAAGAUGUUAGCUUUGCAGGAUUACUUCCAUUCCUCAGAAGAGCAUCAGAACUUGGAGGCAGCAUCUUCUGUUAUACAAUAAAUCAAUUAUUCCUAGUAAGAGGUUGCUCUUUUUUCAUGGUUUUGCACAGUUGAAAUCUGGGAACCACCUCUAGGCAUCUAAAGCAUUUCUUGGCUAAUGUGUUUUCCCUUUAUCUCUCUACGGUUGAUGCAAACCCUUUAGUUACACUGAUUAUGAUGUUGCUUGAGUUCCUUGCCUCGAUAGUUUUUUGCCUAGUGAAUAGUGUUAUAAAUAUUUGUAAAGGUUUAGUGUGUUGGGAGAGUGAGAAUGACCACCUCCUAGCCAUUUUUAGUUCAGUUCUUCUGAGCUUAUUUCUUUCUGGGUUGAAACUGCCCUAGGCAUCUGUGAAGCAACAACACCUGGCAUGGAAAGAGGAUCUAUCCUUCGAUGCUCAUUUACUCUGUGAAAAAAGCAAAGAGGAAUAGGAGAAGGUCAUAAGCUCCUCGAUCAUUUUGCUCGGCUUUAAUUUUCUCCCAAACCAUCCUCCUUGAAUGGUGAAAUUGAGGUGCUGAUGGGAUGUGUCCUUUGACAUCUUUUUGUUUUUUAUUUGAUUUCAAAAAGACUUCGGUCAGGUUUUAUCAGAUGAUAGCACAAAAGCUAGUUCAUAUGAGUGAAGCAUCUAGCAGUUUUUAUAUAAGUGACCAUGGAAGAAUCGAUGAAACUUGGAUGGUGUUUUGCACCAAAAGGGGAAAAAAGGAAAAGAACGAAAAAAAAGGGAUUCCUUGUGGUUCUAUGCACAUCAAGUAUAGUAAUUUCCUUCUUUGAAUUUUAUAAAUAACUCAAGGUCUAAAUAAGGAUUCAAUACUAAUUUUUCACUACAUUUACAAAUAUAUAUUUGAAAAGGUUUUGAGAUCAGUCUCAGAGCUCUUCAUCUUUGGUGGGUUCAUGUUGAAAAAAGAUAUGCUUGGGAGAAAUUUUAAAAAAGACAGAGGUGUUUUCAGAAAAUGAAAAAAAAUAUAGAGAUGUGGCUCCUUAAUCUCAUGGAAAAAUCACAAUUUAAGAAAGAAAAACCAUUAUUCUAGGAAAAGAAAAAAGAAUGUCAUGAAAACUUUGACACCUAGGGUUCAGUUCCACUCCAUGUCUGCUAUAUAUGAAGGACAUACUUGGUGCUAGUCGACGUUUACAUGUGAGUUUAGGUCUCAGUUGGAAUCAUGUGAGGUUUUAUGUCUUAAUUUUUGGUGCAUAAUUGUUGCUUAUUUGUUGUUUACUAAGGGACUGCAUUGGUAUUGUUUUUGAUCUAGAUAUGUUUUUGUUUAAUCUAAAAAACCAAGAAGAAAAAUGAACUAGAAUGAACAACAUAUAUGUUGAUUUUUUUUUAAUAAAUUUUUUGUAAAAUUUUGGCAGCUGUGGUUUAUUGCUUUCAAAAAAGAGUGAAAAUAAGUACAAGAAAAAGCAGAAAUUUUGUGCAAAUGCUGUUUUCAACAUGAGUGUAGGUGACUAGCAAUGAUACCAAAUAGGCACUAAGAUUCUUGACGAGUCUCUGUGGAGGAAAUGACCUUGUGACUUCUGCGAUGAUCAUGAAAUUAUUAUACCAAGAAUUUUCGGAAGAUGAGGAGAAAAUGGAAAGAAACAAAAUCUUCAUCUAUCUGUUGUAUUCAAGCCACAAGGAAUGCAACUUUUAGGAGACUGUUAGAUGUUUGAUGACGAGGACAUGCCACGCUGAUGACAGUGAUGUUUCAUGGAGACAAGUUUGAUGAUAAAGGCUUGCCAUGCUGCCCACAGGAUUGCAUUGGCGAGAAUAGGAAUGCAUGAGACACAACAGAGAAAGAAAAAUGGCCUGCAAGAAGGUGGCUACAAUGCUCUUCAUCAGCAUGCUGCUUGUUCUGUCCACCGUGGAGAGGAGCGAGGCUGGGCAAAGCUGCUUCUGCGAGUGUAUGAAGAAAUGCAUCCCAAUGGGCACGGUGAGCACGCAAGCAUGCAAGAAGGAGUGCGACCAGGCAUGCAGGCAAGCAGGAUUUUCUGGGAAACCCAAGAGAGGAUUGGAGUUCUGUAAAAGACUGGCAAGCCGGAGGCACUGAUCAGUUGAUUCUACUUCCAUCUUUUCACUCUGAUUUUAAAAAUGAUGAUUGUUUCAAUGGUAUAUUUAUUGAUUGGUAUUCUCUAAGAGCUGACUUGUCUAUCAUUAGUUAAUGAAACAAUCUUUGGUUAAUGAAACAAGCUUUCAUAAUUUGUGAUUUUGCCUGGAA